rnacentral:rRNA from 1 species
UACAGAGGGUGCAAGCGUUGUUCGGAAUUAUUGGGCGUAAAGGGCGCGUAGGCGGUGCGGUAAGUCUGUAGUGAAAUCUCUGGGCUCAACUCAGAGUCUGCUGCAGAAACUGCCGUGCUUGAGUGUGGGAGAGGUGAGUGGAAUCCCCGGUGUAGCGGUGAAAUGCGUAGAUAUCGGGAGGAACACCUGUGGCGAAAGCGGCUCACUGGACCACAACUGACGCUGAGACGCGAAAGCGUGGGGAGCAAACAGG